CUGCGGGAAGCCCACCCGCACCCGGGGCCCACGACCGCCGCUCGCGAGACCGCCCGCACUGCCGGCGCAGCCAACUCCAGUCCCGCGAGGAUCCCCUCGAGCCCCCGGGACUGCUCGCCUGCUCGCCCCCAGCCGGGAACUCAGCAGAAUAAGCGAACACGGAGGGGCCGCACGCUCCGGAACGCGCGGUCAUCCGCACAGCCGCGCGGGGACCGCGCGCUUAAGGCAGAAAAAUCGCGGGGCUUCUCUGUCUCCGUCCCUUCGACAUUUUGGAAACCGAAGGUAACACCUCAUCGAAUGGUUCUCGGGGCAGCGGGCGGGGAUGGGAGCACCCGGCGCGACGGAACCCAUCUUUAGGGCGAUAUUUAAUUUACAAAAACUAUUGCGGAGAGGAAAGAAGGGCUGCGAUUGUCCUCGUAGUCGUAGGAGACAGAUUGUGGGAAGCCCGAUGUGGUGGAGAAACGGAAUCCUUACACGAAAAUAAGGAGUAUCAGCAGAGAAACAAAAACGAAAGGAAAGCGCGAGCCCCGGGAGCUCGGGAGAUCUUUGUCCCGCGUGCGGAGAUCGGUGCGUCUCGCUAUCCGUGGAUCGGUUUCGAACAAGAAAAUAGAAGAGCGCGAUAUAUUAAAAUAUGGUUGUUGAUUUUUUUUCACAUGUAUAUCGUGUGCAAAUAUACGCAUUGUGUAUAUAAACACGGAGCAUCUACGCGUUUCAGUACUUUUGCAUUUAAGAGUACGAAAAAGCACAGCACAUCCGAAGCCUUAGGCACGAAGCAUUAUGUACGAAGGGCGUAAGGAGCCCUCCCGGCCACAGCGCGGGCCGCUCCGCCACCCUCAGCCCCGGGCGGGGCCGCCGGGGGGACGCGGGGCCGCCGGGCUCUCCCUCGGGCCGGGUCCCUCCGUGGGCAGCGCGGAGCUCCGAGCCGGGAGCGGCUCUCAGCUCCGGGCCGGCGCAGACCCGGGCGGCAGCGGCGAGGCGACUCCGGCCCCGCCAGGUGCCAGAGCG
ensembl:lncRNA